AACGGCCGUACCAUGCUGAAUAUACCGGUUCUCGUUAGAUCACCGAAGUGAAACAUCAUUGGGCGCGGUCAGUACUUGGGUGGGUGACCACCUGGGAACACUGCGUGCCGU